CCCUAGUAACGGCGAGUGAAGCGGCAACAGCUCAAAUUUGAAAUCUGGCGUCUUUGGCGUCCGAGUUGUAAUUUGCAGAGGGCGCUUUGGCAUUGGCAGCGGUCCAAGUUCCUUGGAACAGGACGUCACAGAGGGUGAGAAUCCCGUACGUGGUCGCUAGCCUUUACCGUGUAAAGCCCCUUCGACGAGUCGAGUUGUUUGGGAAUGCAGCUCUAAAUGGGAGGUAAAUUUCUUCUAAAGCUAAAUACUGGCCAGAGACCGAUAGCGCACAAGUAGAGUGAUCGAAAGAUGAAAAGCACUUUGGAAAGAGAGUUAAAAAGCACGUGAAAUUGUUGAAAGGGAAGCGCUUGCAGCCAGACUUGCCUGUAGUUGCUCAUCCGGGUUUCUACCCGGUGCACUCUUCUACGGGCAGGCCAGCAUCAGUUUGGGCGGUUGGAUAAAGGUCUCUGUCAUGUACCUCCUUUCGGGGAGAUCUUAUAGGGGAGACGACAUGCAACCAGCCUGGACUGAGGUCCGCGCAUCUGCUAGGAUGCUGGCGUAAUGGCUGUAAGCGGCCCGUCUUGAAACACGGACCAAGGAGUCUAACAUCUAUGCGAGUGUUUGGGUGUCAAGCCCGAGCGCGUAAUGAAAGUGAACGGAGGUGGGAACCUUUCGGGGUGCACCAUCGACCGAUCCUGAUGUCUUCGGAUGGAUUUGAGUAAGAGCAUAGCUGUUGGGACCCGAAAGAUGGUGAACUAUGCUUGAAUAGGGUGAAGCCAGAGGAAACUCUGGUGGAGGCUCGCAGCGGUUCUGACGUGCAAAUCGAUCGUCAAAUUUGGGCAUA
rnacentral:rRNA from 2 species